rnacentral:rRNA from 1 species
CCUACGGGAUGCAGCAGUCGAGAAUCAUUCACAAUGGGGGAAACCCUGAUGGUGCGACGCCGCGUGGGGGAAUGAAGGUCUUCGGAUUGUAAACCCCUGUCAUGUGGGAGCAAAUUAAAAAGAUAGUACCACAAGAGGAAGAGACGGCUAACUCUGUGCCAGCAGCCGCGGUAAUACAGAGGUCUCAAGCGUUGUUCGGAAUCAAUGGGCGUAACGCGUGCGUAGGCUGUUUCGUAAGUCGUGUGUGAAAGGCGCGGGCUCAACCCGCGGACGGCACAUGAUACUGCGAGACUAGAGUAAUGGAGGGGGAACCGGAAUUCUCGGUGUAGCAGUGAAAUGCGUAGAUAUCGAGAGGAACACUCGUGGCGAAGGCGGGUUCCUGGACAUUAACUGACGCUGAGGCACGAAGGCCAGGGGAGCGAAAGGGAUUAGAUACCCCAGUAGUC